AAAAAAUUUUGACAUUGUUGUCAGACAAAAUGGGUUAUUUUAGAAAUACAGCACUGAAAAUAUUAGCUGUUCAAUGUGCUUUAAAUGCAGACAGCAGAUGUGAUUUGCCCUUGCACACAGAAAUAUCUGCAUCACAGACAUCCAAACUGAGGCCUCAUUUGAAUACUUUGAGCAAAAUCCUGGCUCUGUUGAAGUUGAUGGGAAUUUUGCCAUUAAUUUCAGUUGGGCUUCGGCUUCCUUCUCCAGUGAUGAAAUGUGUGGCAAGGGAGGUAUCCUUGAGGAACACACAGGCUUAUAUGGGAAGAAAAGGAAGAAUUCCACAGCAGGUCACAGAGGAAAGCUAUCCAUCCCCUCACAAGGAGAAGGCCACAUCUGAGAAAGCCAACUCAGGACAGGAGUGAAGUGCUUCACCUGGAUGAUUCAGAGCAGCUAUGUUGCACUGGAGUAGGCAUUCAGUCAAUCCCUCUCCUGAGCCAAGAGCUGCUUUUUUUUCAUCCUCUUUGAAGAAAUAUAACACUGUAAGCAAGCUAGUACAAUAGCAAAGUCCCAGUGAUGGUUUUGGAAGUAAUGUGGUUCCUUAAUAUUUUUCCACAGUGAUUUCAAGGAGCCAUCCUCCACAGCCUGGGCUAGUUUAAUAGAA
rnacentral:lncRNA from 1 species